rnacentral:lncRNA from 1 species
AGUUUAGGAUUUAAGGUUUAGGGUUUAGGGUUUAGAGUUUAGGGUUUAGGGUUUAGACUUUAGGGUUUAGGGUUUAGAGUUGAGAAAUGAGGUUUUGGGGAUAAGAUUUCAAAUUUUGAAAAAUAAAAAAAUUAAAAUUUUCAAAGGAUAAAUUUAGAAAGGUGCUAUUUUGGUCAUUUUAGUUUUUGAGUGCUAUAUUUGUGAUAUAAACUUAAAAAUGUGCUAUUUUGGAGAUUUGCCCUUAAAUAUUUCAUAAGCAAAUUUGUAAAACCAAUAUCAAGAAAAAAAAGAUAUCACAAGUUACGUCAGCUAGAGACCGUUGUAUGAUCACCGAAAAAACAUCAGAUCAUGAAUGUUAUCAUCACGUUGUUUUUGUAUCUGUAAAUGGUUAAAAUUAUCAUUACGUUUGGUACAACGUCUUAGCGGCGGAGUCACAUGAGACAAGACACGUGAUGCUUUCAUGAUCUUACGAACCUUAAUUAAAAAUGAUAC